AGCUGACGAGAGUCGCAGAUACCAGGUGGCUGCAACUGUUUAUUAAAAACACAGCACUGUGCAAAAUCGUAAGAUGACGUAUACGGUGUGACGCCUGCCCGGUGCCGGAAGGUUAAUUGAUGGGGUUAGCGUAAGCGAAGCUCUUGAUCGAAGCCCCGGUAAACGGCGGCCGUAACUAUAACGGUCCUAAGGUAGCGAAAUUCCUUGUCGGGUAAGUUCCGACCUGCACGAAUGGCGUAAUGAUGGCCACGCUGUCUCCACCCGAGACUCAGUGAAAUUGAAAUCGCUGUGAAGAUGCAGUGUACCCGCGGCUAGACGGAAAGACCCCGUGAACCUUUACUACAGCUUGGCACUGAACAUUGAACCUACAUGUGUAGGAUAGGUGGGAGGCUUUGAAGACGUGACGCCAGUUGCGUUGGAGCCGUCCUUGAAAUACCACCCUUGUAUGUUUGAUGUUCUAACGUUGGCCCCUAAUCGGGGUUGCGGACAGUGCCUGGUGGGUAGUUUGACUGGGGCGGUCUCCUCCCAAAGAGUAACGGAGGAGCACGAAGGUGGGCUAAUCACGGUUGGACAUCGUGAGGUUAGUGCAAUGGCAUAAGCCCGCUUAACUGCGAGAAUGACGGUUCGAGCAGGUGCGAAAGCAGGUCAUAGUGAUCCGGUGGUUCUGAAUGGAAGGGCCAUCGCUCAACGGAUAAAAGGUACUCCGGGGAUAACAGGCUGAUACCGCCCAAGAGUUCAUAUCGACGGCGGUGUUUGGCACCUCGAUGUCGGCUCAUCACAUCCUGGGGCUGAAGUCGGUCCCAAGGGUAUGGCUGUUCGCCAUUUAAAGUGGUACGCGAGCUGGGUUUAGAACGUCGUGAGACAGUUCGGUCCCUAUCUGCCGUGGGCGUUGGAAGAUUGAAGGGGGCUGCUCCUAGUACGAGAGGACCGGAGUGGACGAACCUCUGGUGUUCGGGUUGUGUCGCCAGACGCAUUGCCCGGUAGCUAAGUUCGGAAUCGAUAACCGCUGAAAGCAUCUAAGCGGGAAGCGAGCCCUGAGAUGAGUCUU
rnacentral:rRNA from 1 species